rnacentral:rRNA from 1 species
AGAGUGAACGCUGGCGGUAGGCCUAACACAUGCAAGUCGAACGGCAGCACAGUAAGAGCUUGCUCUUAUGGGUGGCGAGUGGCGGACGGGUGAGGAACACAUCGGAAUCUACCUUUUCGUGGGGGAUAACGUAGGGAAACUUACGCUAAUACCGCAUAAGACCUUCGGGUGAAAGCCGGGGACCUUCGGGCCUGGCGCGGAUAGAUGAGCCGAUGUCGGAUUAGCUUGUUGGCGGGGUAAAAGCCCACCAAGGCGACGAUCCGUAGCUGGUCUGAGAGGAUGAUCAGCCACACUGGAACUGAGACACGGUCCAGACUCCUACGGGAGGCAGCAGUGGGGAAUAUUGGACAAUGGGC